rnacentral:rRNA from 1 species
UACGUAGGGUGCAAGCGUUUGUCCGGAAUUAUUGGGCGUAAAGAGCUCGUAGGUGGUUUGUCGCGUUGUUCGUGAAAACUCACAGCUCAACUGUGGGCGUGCGGGCGAUACGGGCAGACUAGAGUGUGGUAGGGGAGACUGGAAUUCCUGGUGUAGCGGUGAAAUGCGCAGAUAUCAGGAGGAACACCGAUGGCGAAGGCAGGUCUCUGGGCCACUACUGACGCUGAGAAGCGAAAGCAUGGGGAGCGAACAGG